rnacentral:tRNA from 1 species
AAGGUACUAGUAAAAUUGAUAUUACACUGCCUUGUCAAGGCGAAAUUGUGAGUUAAAGCCCCACGUAUCUUA